CAGCACCUCGAGUGGUCAGGAUGAUUAUUGGGCCUAAAGCAUCCGUAGCCGGCGCUGUAAGUUUUCGGUUAAAUCUGUACGCUCAACGUACAGGCUGCCGGGAAUACUGCAGCGCUAGGGAGUGGGAGAGGUAGACGGUACUCGGUAGGAAGGGGUAAAAUCCUUUGAUCUAUUGAUGACCACCUGUGGCGAAGGCGGUCUACCAGAACACGUCCGACGGUGAGGGAUGAAAGCUGGGGGAGCAAACCGGAUUAGAGACCCGAGUAGUCC
rnacentral:rRNA from 1 species